CCUANGGGUGGCUGCAGUCGAGGAUCUUCGUCAAUGGGCGCAAGCCUGAACGAGCGACGCCGCGUGAGCGAUGAAGGCCUUCGGGUUGUAAAGCUCGAAAGUGGAGAGAAAGUCGAAAGAUUGAUCAAUCCACAGUAAGGACGGGCUAAGUUCGUGCCAGCAGCCGCGGUAAGACGAACUGUCCUAACGUUGUUCGGAAUCACUGGGCUUAAAGGGCGCGUAGGCGGUCCGUCAAGUCAGGGGUGAAAUCCUGCAGCUUAACUGUAGAAGUGCCUCUGAUACUGACGGUCUUGAGGGAGAUAGGGGUGUGCGGAACUUCCAGUGGAGCGGUGAAAUGCGUUGAUAUUGGAAGGAACGCCGGAGGCGAAAGCGGCGCACUGGAUCUCUUCUGACGCUGAGGCGCGAAAGCUAGGGGAGCAAACGGGAUUAGAUACCCUANUAGUC
rnacentral:rRNA from 1 species